CCUACGGGAGGCAGCAGUGAGGAAUAUUGGUCAAUGGGAGAGAUCCUGAACCAGCCAAGCCGCGUGAGGGAAGACGGCCCUAUGGGUUGUAAACCUCUUUUGUCGGAGAACAAAACCCGGGACGUGUCCCGGACUGCGUGUAUCCGAAGAAAAAGCAUCGGCUAACUCCGUGCCAGCAGCCGCGGUAAUACGGAGGAUGCGAGCGUUAUCCGGAUUUAUUGGGUUUAAAGGGUGCGUAGGCGGUCCGUUAAGUCAGCGGGAAAAUUGCGGGGCUCAACCCCGUUGAGCCGUUGAAACUGGCAGACUUGAGUUGGCGAGAAGUACGCGGAAUGCGCGGUGUAGCGGUGAAAUGCAUAGAUAUCGCGCAGAACUCCGAUUGCGAAGGCAGCGUACCGGCGCCAGACUGACGCUGAGGCACGAAAGCGUGGGGAUCGAACAGGAUUAGAUACCCUUGUAGUC
rnacentral:rRNA from 1 species